rnacentral:rRNA from 1 species
AGAACGAACGCUGGCGGCAUGCCUAACACAUGCAAGUCGAACGAAGCCUUCGGGCUUAGUGGCGCACGGGUGCGUAACGCGUGGGAAUCUGCCCUUGGGUUCGGAAUAACAGUUGGAAACGACUGCUAAUACCGGAUGAUGUCUUCGGACCAAAGAUUUAUCGCCCAGGGAUGAGCCCGCGUAGGAUUAGCUUGUUGGUGAGGUAAAGGCUCACCAAGGCGACGAUCCUUAGCUGGUCUGAGAGGAUGAUCAGCCACACUGGGACUGAGACACGGCCCAGACUCCUACGGGAGGCAGCAGUGGGGAAGUAUUGGACAAUGGGCGAAAGCCUGAUCCAGCAAUGCCGCGUGAGUGAUGAAGGCCUUAGGGUUGUAAAGCUCUUUUUACCCGGGAUGAUAAUGACAGUACCGGAGAAUAAGCUCCGGCUAAACUCCGUGCCAGCAGCCGC